rnacentral:lncRNA from 10 species
UGCAUGUAUACCGUAAAUAAAAAAUUAAGUGUGUUGAUGGCAGAUGGCAAAAAACAGAUUUCUUAUUCUUGGAAUAGGAGGUUACAGAGACUCAAGGGGAAGAUGCUAGAAUAAUUUAUGUGGUAAUGUAUUGGAGCUGGCAACAUCAGUAUGAACUCAUGUUUACCAUAAUAUAGAUAGAUAUUAAAUUGAUGCAAAAGUAACGGCAGUUUUUGCCAUUAAGUUGCGGUUUUUGCCAUUAUAAUGGCAAAAACUGCAAUUACUUUCACACCUGCUUAAUAGAGUGAGAGCGAGUGAGAGAGAGAAUUACAUAUAGAAAUAUUUAUAAGUACAUGCAUGUAAAUCAAUUAUCACAUACACCUGUAUUUUCUUUUGCUCUAAACUAAGAGAGUCAAGAAUCAAGGACACUCCAAUAACAGUGUCCCUAGCACUCAGAAUUUGGUUCCAUUCUUCAAGAAAAGGGGCCAGAGCUCCUUGGAGAAAUGACUAAUUCUAGGACGAGGGCCUAGAACACCUUUUGUUUUCAAAAAGUAAGGAAGUGUUCAAUAACCACACCCUGCCACACACACUAUAAUUUUGAUUAGAAAUUUUUAAAAAAUUAACUUAUAUGCAUGUUUUUUUAGAGAAAUAUUAAGGAGACAUCAAUAAAAGAAUAUGACAUAGAAUAAAUAACUUACGCAGUGAAAAAUUUCAUGAGGGAAGUGGAAUGGAAAUAAAAGUUAAUUUUUAAGUGUAAAUUACUUUAAUAUUAAAAAGAGCUUACUCAACUAUUUUAAAUGAAUGCUGAAAGCUGUAUGAUAUUUAGAUUCUACUCAUCAGCUUUAAAAGCAAAAACAACUUAAUGUUUAAGUUUACAAAAACUUGAAAAAUUGCAUUACUUGGAACUUCAUAAACCUAUAAUGAAACAAAUUUUAUUUUAACUUAGUAAGUGUGAGGAGGUACACAAUUUUCAAAUGCGAUUUAGAGAAAAAUUAGAAAACCUGUUUGUGGCCACACUGCUCUAGAGAAUUCCAAAUAAAGUUUUUCCUAAAUCCUUGUGGUGCCAUAAACCUAACUUGGAUUAAUUUUUUGCAAGCAAAUAAUUUGGGCUCUGGUUUUAUUCCAAUCACUAUUUCCCCCUCCUCUCAGAAUAGUAUUCCCCCUCCUUAGAAGAAUAUUACAAAACAUUUCAUAUUUACAAUGAAUUCCCAUGACCAACCCACCUGUAAGAGAGGAAGAUGGUGUGAAUGAUGGGGUGGUAGCAUGGGACAGAUGAUGUAGAGAAAUAAAGCUCAGUUUAUCCUGCCAAAACUCACUGUUUUGCUUAUGUAGUAUUUAUAAUAUUGGGGUCAUGGAUAAUCUAGUUUUACAUUAUAUCUUUCUGAUAUCAAAUGUGCUGCGGUAAAAAGAAGAGGCGUACACAUGGCCAGGAGUAAUUUGAGUUACCAGAGGAAGCAUGGACCUGUAACUGACAGAGUGAGGAUUGUGCUCCAGAAGUAAAACAUAGUUUCAAAGCAACAGACAGGGAUUCAUAAGGGCAAAAGGAAUUUGGCAGCUGUGAUUUAAUCGAAGAUCAUGAGAUGGAAAGAUUAUUAUCUGUGUGCAUCUAACAUAAUCACAAAGGUCCUUUUAAUGUGAAAGAGGAAGACAGGAGAGUCAGAGGGUCAGAGAAGAUGUGAAUACAGAAGCAGAGGUCACAACGACGUGAGAAAGGCACAUCUGGCUUUGAAGAUAGAGGGGCGAUGUGCCGAGGAAUGCAGGAAGCCUAAAAAGCUGAAAUAAGCAAGAAGUGGAUUCUUUCCUGCUGCUGCCAGAAGGGACAUACCCCUGCAGACACCUUGAUUUUUGCCCCAUAAUACUCUUUUUAGAUUUCUGACUCAUAGAAAUAUAAGAUAAUAAAUUUGCUUUGUUGUAAGCCACUAAGUUAGUGGUAAACGGUAAGUUUGUAAAGCAAUAAGAAAUGAACAGAC